UUUCUCAAUUUGUAGGUGUGUGUGGAACUCAAGAGAAUCACAACAAUCCAUUUAGAGUUAACGUUCUUCUCUGAGCUGGAUGCUCACUCUGCAGACCUAAUCCAGUUGUUUGCCAAGACAGGCAGAGUUCAAGGGGGGCGGAUCAGAAGCAUCAUGGUAGCCAUGACUGAGAUCCAGAGAAGCUGGUGAAAGAAUACCUGAGAAGCUGGUGAAAGAAUACCUGAGCGAUGAUAAAAGCAGUCUGGAGGCUAUGGCAGAGACGGUCUUUGGAGUCUUUGUCAUUCGACACAACGGUGCAGGGCCCAGUGAGAACCCAGAGGAUGUCAGAAUUCUUCUGGAGGGUGUAAAGGUGUUGCAUGAGUUGAGGUAUGUGCCUUUUGCAGUGGCAGAGUUGCUUGCGCUCGUGUAUGCUCUAAACCGUAGCUACCCCAGAGAGCUAAAAUACACCUUUGAAGCUCUGCAGAAGAUCAAGUACAUGACUGAGCUCAUCCUCACCUUAGGAAAAACACCUUGUGACUAAAAAUCAGUUAAACUCUUGUUCGAUCCUAACAUAAGUGAAGUUAAAAUACUAAAAAAAAUUGUCUUCCACAAUGUUUUAGAUUUACCACUGUUGGCUUUUAUGUCAAAUGUCCCUAACUGUGAAAUGUUUUUGUUGGCACAAAAAAAUUUAAAAUAAUUUAAGCAGUGUUUUGUUUAUAAUGUUCAAGUCUUGACAUUGAGCAGGCUCUAGAAUUCAUUGAACCUCAGUUUCUGAUGUUAUGUUCACUGUUACAUUCUAAAUAUGUUGUACUGAUGUGGAAUGUGAAAUGUUUCAAGGGAAAUGUGAGUCUAAUGCUGACCUCACACUGCA